rnacentral:rRNA from 1 species
CUCCUGGGGGGACACGACAGCCUGAUCCAGCAAUGCCGCGUGUGUGAAGAAGGCCUUCGGGUUGUAAAGCACUUUUGUCCGGAAAGAAAACGCUCUGGUUAAUACCCGGGGCGGAUGACGGUACCGGAAGAAUAAGCACCGGCUAACUACGUGCCAGCAGCCGCGGUAAUACGUAGGGUGCAAGCGUUAAUCGGAAUUACUGGGCGUAAAGCGUGCGCAGGCGGUCUGCUAAGACAGAUGUGAAAUCCCCGGGCUUAACCUGGGAACUGCAUUUGUGACUGGCAGGCUAGAGUAUGGCAGAGGGGGGUAGAAUUCCACGUGUAGCAGUGAAAUGCGUAGAGAUGUGGAGGAAUACCGAUGGCGAAGGCAGCCCCCUGGGCCAAUACUGACGCUCAUGCACGAAAGCGUGGGGAGCAAACAGGAUUAGAUACCCUGGUAGUCCACGCCCUAAACGAUGUCAACUAGUUGUUGGGGAUUCAUUUCCUUAGUAACGUAGCUAACGCGUGAAGUUGACCGCCUGGGGAGUACGGUCGCCAGAUUAAAACUCAUAUGAGUU